AGUAGUGGAUUGUACGAAUAUAGGUGUCUGCGCGGCAAUGUAGUGGAUGUCUCGUAAAGUUUUAUGUGUGUGUGAAUGCGGCGUAGUACGUGAUACGACGUAAUACAAGCGUCGUCGCCGUCUCGCGUAAAUUAUAUACGGAAUUUUGUUUCACAAGCUGACAACAAUGCUGCUAGGAAACGAAAUUAUAGUGUGAAAUAAGUAUGUAUUUUUCUUAUUUCGACUCCCGAUUACAAAUAACAAAAACGACAAUAAUGUGAGAAUUAAAUGGAACGUAGGUAACAUUAAUUGUCAAAACUAUUACUACAGACAAAUUGACCAAGGUAUCCAUUAAUUAUGCGGUUAAAACUUCAAUACUGAAGUUAGUAAUGUUUCAAACUCUUUAAAUAUUUGUCUACUAGCUAUAAAUUCUGAAUGAAAUAAUAAAAACAAAAUCGUGUUAAAGUU